rnacentral:rRNA from 1 species
UACGGAGGAUUCAAGCGUUAUCCGGAUUUAUUGGGUUUAAAGGGUGCGUAGGCGGUCGGAUAAGUUAGAGGUGAAAUCCCGAGGCUCAACUUCGGAAUUGCCUCUGAUACUGUUCGGCUAGAGAGUAGUUGCGGUAGGCGGAAUGUAUGGUGUAGCGGUGAAAUGCUUAGAGAUCAUACAGAACACCGAUUGCGAAGGCAUCUCACGAAUCCGCGAUUGACGCUGAUGCACGAAAGCGUGGGUAUCAAACAGG